rnacentral:SRP_RNA from 1 species
GGUUGGCGCCUCUGGCGACGAAGCAUUGUGAACCUGGUCAGGCCCGGAAGGGAGCAGCCACAGCAGUGUUUUCGGGUGCACAGAGUCACGCUGGUUGAC